rnacentral:lncRNA from 1 species
CGCCAGGUUCUGGAGAACGUGGCUGCUGUCAUCCAGGUUCUAGAGAACUUGGCUGCCAGUAACCACGUUCUCCAAUCAGACGAGAUGCAAUUGCUUUUUUAUUUUUUAAUCAAAGCAAGCUUGAAUAAUUCAAGCUCACUUUGGCUAUGACCAUUGACUACAAUCACAUAAUUACUCACAGAACAGUGGUGAAAUGUGCUAGUGAUCGUUGGUAGUGCUAAAGCUUUUACAGCUCUUGGAUCUUUCGCAAGAGCUAAAAGUAGCUCAUUGUCAUCAAGAUCUACCAAAUAACAUCAAAAGUUAGAAAUAAAGAAUUCAAAUCAAAUAAACUUUAACUUUGUCUCUAGAAAUGGAUUCCUGCUGCUCGCCAUGCUCCAGCAUAGGCUCUGGCAUAGUCUCGUGCACAGUCUCGUGUUGCUUGUCGUGUCCACCUGAAACGAAGAAAAAACUAAAUUGAAAGACAAAAGGAAAGAAAGAAUUUUCUUACCUUACUGCUCUUCAAUCACGUCCAGAACUUGGUGGUGAUUCAGUUCCUUUUCGUGGAUCUCUUCUCUUGGAGAAGGCUGUUGCUGCCCAGAACCACCUAAAAUCGAGAAAAGAGAAAAGUCCAUUAUAAAGAUUAUAAAGUUUCUUACCAAAAUUUUGUUGUUGCUGCUCACGAUUUUGAGUCUGUUGAUUGUCAUUUCCACCUGAAUUGAAGAGUGUUAAACCUCCACAAAAAAAAAAAGCUUUGAAUUACCAAAAGAAACAAGAUGGCAAUCUGGAAGAUCCAAUGGAUCUUCAUUUAAAGGUUUACCAGCCUCAUAGCACCAUACAAUAUACUCCGAUGCUUUCCGAAAUUUGUCUUGGUAGUUUUUCAAACGACCAGUAUGAUCAUACCGGUUAUACAGAAUAGAUGACAUUGCCAUUCUCCUUGCUUUCCCAGAGUGAUCGUACCUGUUAAAAAAAGAGGCAUUAAUGACAAAAUGGUUAGCAAAAACCUUACUGUUCCAUGUUUUCCACCCUCUUGUGUCCCAUCAGCUUCAUAUAGUCUUUCAUUGGAGUGUUGCAAACACUCAUAGUUGUAAUUGCUGAAUGCCGAAUAUCUUUCGCUGAAAGGCUCAAACCUGGAGAAAAAAAACUAUGAGAAAACAAGAAAGCAGUUAGUUAAUUACCUGUUUUUUCGGCAACCAAUUUUACUACUUCAGAGAUCUUAUGCUCUCCUAUCCGUGCCACUCGACAGUACCAAUUAUCAGUCCUGUUGAAACAGUCGUUACAAGCCAGGAAAAACGGUCGCUUGUUCAAGCCCCCCCAUCACCAACUGCUGGAUGCUUAUUAGAAAAAAGCUUGAAUGCCUUGUAGACUAAGGGAGCAGCUAUUUCAUAGAGAUCCACAGCAGGCUGCUGAUCCAUGUUCUUACAAUUCAUCAGAUCCACUUCGUAGUUUUUGGAAACACGUUGGUUGAAUUUGAGACAAAAAAAAUUCUGAUUAGAACCAAUAAGAACAAAGAAAAAAAAAAAGAAACUACUCAACUGAAUAUAGCAACCAACAACAUCUUCCAAAAGUGUAAAAUCAGUGAAUCGCCUGUCGUACAAUUCCUUCCUCCCAUGUACAAGAAAGAAAUUCAUGCAGAAUAGUAAGACUAACCGAAACAGUCCAUUAGGACUGUUAGGUAGAAACUCUGGCAAUGUGAGAACUGCCUUAAGCUCAGCCAUCCACAAGUACACAUGCUUUGACCCUGUACUUGUUGGCCUUGUAGUUUCUAGUGUUGCUUUUCAAAUUACAUGGCUAGCAGCGUUCCUAGAAUAAACAAACCAAACCAAACAUAUUAGAACACAAACCACAACAAAAAGAACAAAAAAAGCAAGAUACCUUGCUGUAAGAAACCUUGGAUCAUUCAGGAUGUCAACUUCUUCUUCCAAAACUCCUGUUCUUGCAACUCAGGCUUCUCUUGCCAGCUUCAAUACUCGGUUAAAGCAAAAAAACAUAUCCCUUAGAGUUGUUGGAGGGUAAGGCUUCCCAUCGUCUCUCAAAACAUGCUUGUAGAACAAUGCAAGCUGGUGGGAAAGCUCCUACAGUCAGAGAAAGAUGUAGUCACAAAAAUCAAAAGAAAAAAUAAGAAACAACCUUUGCAGGAAGUUCCUCAAUCAGUCUCAGAUCUUGUAAGGACAAUUCUGGGCCCUGUGCCUCGUGCCAUGCAUAAAACUUCAAUGUUGCCUACUCAUUCUUCUUUCGGGUCCCUGCUGGUAUAACCAGUUUCAAUGGAUUCUCGUCCUCCUCAUUCGGAACAAUUGGUCGAAAAGGUUGGCGGCCAACCUGCAUCAACAAACAAUUUCAACAUGGAGUAUCUAAGCAAAAAGCACUUACCUCUCUCCGACCACGCCGACCACGCCCACCACGCCCACUGCGAUUCCUCCCAGGACAAACCUAUCAAACUCAAACGAUUGCAAGUGAGUAAACAAGAAUACAUAAAAACUAGAGAACCGAAUUCAAGAAAGGAGCUGCGUUCUCAACAAGAUCAGCGGCAUUCUGGGACAAUCCCAGAUCAAAUGAAGGAGGAUCCAUCUACAGAUAGACAAAAUCGAGAGGAUUGAGAAGGAAAAACUAUGAAAUCCAGAGAAAACCAAGAAAUGAGGGCAAACCAGGAUUAUCAGCUCUCAAGCUGCUCUCGACGCACACAAGCUCCUGCUGCCUUGAGCGCCACAAGAAACUAUUGCAAAAUUCCUGAAACACACGGACAAGGAGCAGAUCUGGAUCAAUCUAGCUGCUAUGCCUCAGAUCUGACCUUGGCAAGCUGCUGCUGCCCUGCCGCUGCUGCUGACGCCUUGCCGCUACUGCUUUGCCGCUGCCACUGCCACUUCUGAGAGAAUCCGACAGCCUCACGACGUCGGCACAAAAACCCUUAAAACCUAGAAAACAUGUUAUAUAUGACUUUUAGCCACGUGUUCUAUGUUCAUUCGACCGCUCUCAUCCUCGAAUAACGUUAUUCCAUGUGUCCGUUAACAGUCUUGCCACAGCCUGUUAAGGCCGUUCCCGGGCACGGGCUUGCACGUUCCCUCCAGAACGCACUCGUCGGGCUAACGCCCGGCUCGCCCGUUCUGGGCGGGAACGUGCUCGCCCUACCCGGGAACUCCUUCUUAACGGGCUGUGGCUCGCCCGUUAACUUCAUCCAGCCGUUGGUAGCUGUCGGAUCAAGUCAAGCUCUCUGCGAGAAUUUUACUAUUGUCAGCCACAUUCUGGAGAACGUGGCUGACAGCUACCAGAUUCUAGAGAACCCACCUGCCAGCUGCCAGGUUCUGGAGAACCUGGCUGCUGUCAUCCAGGUUCUAGAGAACUUGGCUGCCAGUAACCACGUUCUCCAAUCAGACGAGAUGCAAUUGCUUUUUUAUUUUUUAAUCAAAGCAAGCUUGAAUAAUUCAAGCUCACUUUGGCUAUGACCAUUGACUACAAUCACAUAAUUACUCACAGAACAGUGGUGAAAUGUGCUAGUGAUCGUCGGUAGUGCUAAAGCUUUUGCAGCUCUUGCAUCUUUCACAAGAGCUAAAAGUAGCUCAUUGUCGUCAAGAUCUACCAAAUAACAUCAAAAGUUAGAAAUAAAGAAUUCAAAUCAAAUAAACUUUACCUUUGUCUCCAGAAAUGGAUUCCUACUGCUCGCCAUGCUCCGGCACAAGCUCUGGCACAGUCUCGUGCACAGUCUCAUGUUGCUUGUCGUGUCCACUUGAAACAAAGAGAAAACUAAAUUGAAAGAAAAAAGGAAAGAAAGAAUUUUCUUACCUUACUGCUCUUCAAUCACAUCCAGAACUUGGUGGUGAUUCAGUUCCUGUUCGUGGAUCUCUUCUCUUGGAGAAGGCUGUUGCUGCCCAGAACCACAUAAAAUCGAGAAAAGAGAAAAGUCCAUUAUAAAGAUUAUAAAGUUUCUUACCAAAAUUUUGUUGUUGCUGCUCACGAUUUUGAGUCUGUUGAUUGUCAUUUCCACCUAAAUUGAAGAGUGUUAAACCUCCACAAAAAAAAAAAGCUUUGAAUUACCAAAAGAAACAAGAUGGCAAUCUUGAAGAUCCAAUGGAUCUUCAUUUAAAGGUUUACCAGCCUCAUAGCACCAUACAAUAUACUCCGAUGCUUUCCGAAAUUUGUCCUGGUAGUUUUUCAAACGACCAGUACGAUCAUACCGGUUAUACAGAAUAGAUGACAUCGCCAUUCUCCUUGCUUUCCCAGAGUGAUCGUACCUGUUAAAAAAAGAGGCAUUAAUGACAAAAUGGUUAGCAAAAACCUUAUUGUUCCAUGUUUUCCACCCUCUUGUGUCCCAUCAGCUUCAUAUAGUCUUUCAUUGGAGUGUUGCAAACACUCAUAGUUGUAAUUGCUAAAUGCCGAAUAUCUUUCGCUGAAAGGCUCAAACCUGGAGAAAAAAAACUAUGAGAAAACAAGAAAGCAAUUAGUUAACUACCUGUUUUUUCGGCAACCAAUUUUACUACUUCAGAGAUCUUAUGCUCUCCUAUCCGUGCCACUCGACAGUACCAAUUAUCAGUCCUGUUGAAACAGUCGUUACAAGCCAGGAAAAACGGUCGCUUGUUCAAGCCCCCCCAUCACCAACUGCUGGAUGCUUAUUAGAAAAAAGCUUGAAUGACUUGUAGACUAAGGGAGCAGCUAUUUCAUAGAGAUCCACAGCAGGCUGCUGAUCCAUGUUCUUACAAUUCAUCAGAUCCACUUCGUAGUUUUUGGAAACACGUUGGUUGAAUUUGAGACAAAAAAAAUUCUGAUUAGAACCGACAAGAACAAAGAAAACAAAUAAGAAACUACUCAACUGGAUAUAGCAACCAACAACAUCUUCCAAAAGUGUAAAAUCAGUGAAUCGCAAGUCAUACAAUUCCUUCCUCCCACGUACAAGAAAGAAAUUCAUGCAGAAUAGUACAACUAACCAAAACAGUCCAUUAGGACUGUUAGGUAGAAACUCUGGCAACGUGAGAAUUGCCUUAAGCUCAGCCAUCGACAAGUACACAUGCUUUGACCCUGUACUUGUUGGCCUUGUAGUUUCUAGUGCUGCUUUUCGAAUUACAUGGCUAGCAGUGUUCCUAGAAUAAACAAACCAAACCAAACAUAUUAGAACACAAACCACAACAAAAAGAACAAAAAAGGCAAGAUACCUUGCUGUAAGAAACCUUGGAUCAUUCAGGAUGUCAACUUCUUCUUCCAAAACUCCUGUUCUUGCAACUCAGGCUUCUCUUGCCAGCUUCAAUACUCGGUUAAAGCAAAAAAACAUAUCCCUCAGAGUUGUUGGAGGGUAAGGCUUCCCAUCGUCGCUCAAAACAUGCUUGUAGAACAAUGCAAGCUGGUGGGAAAGCUCCUACAGUUAGAGAAAGAUUUAGUCAUAAAAAUCAAAAGAAAAAAUAAGAAACAACCUUUGCAGGAAUUUCCUCAAUCAGUCUCAAAUCCUGUAAGGUAAAUUCUGGGCCCUGUGCCUCGUGCCAUGCAUAAAACUUCGAUGUUGCCUACUCAUUCUUCUUUCGGGUCCCUGUUGGUAUAACCAGUUUCAAUGGAUUCUCGUCCUCCUCAUUCGGAACAAUUGGUCAAAAAGGUUGGCGGCCAACCUGCAUCAACAAACAAUUUCAACAUGGAGUAUCUAAGCAAAAAGCACUUACCUCUCUCCGACCAUGCCGACCACGCCCACCACGCUCGCUGCGAUUCCUCCCAGGACAAACCUAUCAAACUCAAACGAUUGCAAGUGAGUUAGCAAGAAUACAUAAAAACUAGAGAACCGAAUUCAAGAAAGGAGCUGCGUUCUCAACAAGAUCAGGGGCAUUCUGGGACAAUCCCAAAUCAAAUGAAGGAGGAUCCAUCUACAGAUAGACAAAAUCGAGAGGAUUGAGAAGGAAAAACUAUGAAAUCCAGAGAAAACCAGGAAAUGAGGGCAAACCAGGAUUAUCAGCUCUCAAGCUGCUCUCGACGCAUACAAGCUCCUGCUGCCUUGAGCGCCACAAGAAACUGCUGCAAAAUUCCUGAAACACACGGACAAGGAGCAGAUCUGGAUCAAUCUAGUUGCUAUGCCUCAGAUCUGACCUUGGCAAGCUGCUGCUGCCCUACCGCUGCUGCUGACACCUUGCCGCUACUGCUUUGCCGCUACCACUGCCACUUCUGAGAGAAUCCGACAGCCUCACGGCGUCGGCACAAAAAACCCUAAAACCCUAGAAAACAUGUUAUAUAUGACUUUUAGCCACGUGUUCUAUGUUCAUUCGACCGCUCUCAUCCUCGAAUAACGUUAUUCCAUGUGUCCGUUAACGGUCUCGCCACAGCUUGUUAAGGCUGUUCCCGGGCACGGGCUUGCACGUUCCCUCCAGAACGCGCUCGCCGGGCUAAUGCCCGGCUCGCCCGUUCUAGGCGGGAACGUGCUCACCCUACUUAGGAACUCCUUCUUAACGGGCUGUGGCUCGCCCGUUAACUUGAUCCAGCCGUUGGCAGCCGUCGGAUCAAGUCAAGCUCUCUGCGAGAAUUUUACUGUUGUCAGCCACAUUCUGGAGAACGUGGCUGACAGGUACCAGAUUCUAGAGAACCCACCUGCCAGCCGCCAGGUUCUGGAGAACGUGGCUGCUGUCAUCUAGGUUCUAGAGAACUUGGCUGCCAGUAACCACGUUCUCCAAUCAGACGAGAUGCAAUUGCUUUUUUAUUUUUUAAUCAAAGUAAGCUUGAAUAAUUCAAGCUCACUUUGGCUAUGACCAUUGACUACAAUCACACAAUUACUCACAGAACAGUGGUGAAAUGUGCUAGUGAUCGUCGGUAGUGCUAAAGCUUUUGCAGCUCUUGGAUCUUUCGCAAGAGCUAAAAGUAGCUCAUUG